GUCGCUGCCGCCGCCCGGCCCUCGUACGGCCAGCCCAGUCCAGAGCGAGGAAGUGGAGGAGAGUCAGCGAAGUUCACAAUGCAAGAAAGAAUGGCCAUAGCUGUGCCCUUGGUGACUCUAGGUAGAUGCCAAUCCUACAUCUCCUCCAGGCCACCGUUAGUUGUACUUCUGUGUUUACUAUGCUCCUCUGAAAAACCAUGCUGCAGAAACUAUGAAGAUCUGAUUAAGGUAUUUUAGAACACGACUUCAGAAGCCAAUCUGAAAUCAUGGACAUUACUAAUGGAAGAUAAAUGUUCUAUAGCUUCUGGAAUCAGUCCUGUGAUGGAUAUUAGGAGCCUACGAA